rnacentral:rRNA from 1 species
ACACAUGCAAGUCGAGCGGAAAGGCCCUUCGGGGUACUCGAGCGGCGAACGGGUGAGUAACACGUGAGCAACCUGCCCCAGGCUUUGGGAUAACCCCGGGAAACCGGGGCUAAUACCGAAUAUGACCUUGCACCGCAUGGUGUUUGGUGGAAAGUUUUUCGGCUUGGGAUGGGCUCGCGGCCUAUCAGCUUGUUGGUGGGGUGAUGGCCUACCAAGGCGACGACGGGUAGCCGGCCUGAGAGGGCGACCGGCCACACUGGGACUGAGACACGGCCCAGACUCCUACGGGAGGCAGCAGUGGGGAAUAUUGCACAAUGGGCGGAAGCCUGAUGCAGCGACGCCGCGUGAGGGAUGACGGCCUUCGGGUUGUAAACCUCUUUCAGCAGGGACGAAGCGUAAGUGACGGUACCUGCAGAAGAAGCGCCGGCCAACUACGUGCCAGCAGCC